CCUUUUUUUUCCAUCCAUACAUGCAUUCUUAGGAUCAAGUUAUCCAUAAUGGCCAUCCAUAUUGUGUUUAACAAUAACAAAAUGAAGAUAAGAAUAGAUAUAUUUUUGUCAGGUUUUUUACAUGACACUAUACUAUCAACCUCUUGCGCAGAAGAAAUCUUAUUACCACAAUUGAAAAUUAAUAAUAGAUAUGCAUGAGGGAGUUCUUUUUUUCUAAAAUUUAAUAACGUAUAUAUGAGCAACAAAAUGGUCUAUGAUUUUUUUCUUGUACAAUUCAUUUUUGAGUUCUUCUAAUUUUGCUCUAGAUAUACAACCAGUUAGAUUUGGACGAUUUUGAACAUCAUCAUUAUGUUAAGUUCUUGCUUAAUCUCCGACUAAUUUGGAUUUCAUUUCAUAGUAAAAAAUAUAUCUAGUUUUUAAUAGUGCUGCACAAUAGUUAUUUCAUACAUGUAUCUCCUUAGCAUGUCUCUAGCCCACAUGUAAAGGAUUGUAGGAAAACAAACUUUCUUCCAAUUUUAUACGCCCCAUUGUUUCUCCAUUUUGAAUACUAUCUACAAUGCCUUGAUAAAAUUCAGCACAAAUUUGUUUCUAGUUAAUACGAAGAUAGUCAAACCUAGCAGUUUCAAUCUUAACAUACAUAUCUACAAUGUAUUGUUGUAACAGUCUACCAGUAUGAAGCAAUACAGAUUUAAUCGAAGACUUGAUUUGUAGUAUGUACGAAUAGUAUUCUAGACAAAAGACCCGAGAACGUGUGUUUGCUCCAUGAAUAACUCCAUGACAAGGAAACAAACGUUACUCAAAUAGAAAUGUAUAUAGUAAUGGUUAGAAAGUCUAGUAAAAACUAUAUAAAGAAACCUUCAUCCUCCUUUUGAAUAAGUUCAAAUGCAAAAGCAAUCAUGUUGGGAGAAGUGAUUAAAUUAGGUAAAAUUGAGGUUCAAAGUGUAUGCUUCUAAACAUUUAAUGCCUUCAUGUCAAUCAUAUUUUCCAUAUGGAAAAAGUCGAGGAUACAACAAAUGAUCAUAAUAGUCAUAGUAGUAAUGCACUCCAUGCGAUUUGUCACAAUGGCUAUAUAUUUUAAUAUCACGCACAUGAAUAUUUGCCUUUCCAUUAUCGUCGACUCAUACAACAACCAUUUGAGAUGCUGUCGGAGUACUGAAAACUCUUUGAUCAAGGUCUGGAUCACAUCUUCUUUGUAUUUGAUGAUCUUCCA
rnacentral:lncRNA from 1 species